UACGUAGGGUGCGAGCGUUGUCCGGAAUUAUUGGGCGUAAAGAGCUCGUAGGCGGCUUGUCGCGUCGGAUGUGAAAGCCCGGGGCUUAACUCCGGGUCUGCAUUCGAUACGGGCAGGCUAGAGUUCGGUAGGGGAGAUCGGAAUUCCUGGUGUAGCGGUGAAAUGCGCAGAUAUCAGGAGGAACACCGGUGGCGAAGGCGGAUCUCUGGGCCGAUACUGACGCUGAGGAGCGACAGCGUGGGGAGCAAACAGG
rnacentral:rRNA from 1 species